CAGUCGCCGCGGGAAUACGAAGGGUGCAAGCGUUACUCGGAAUUACUGGGCGUAAAGCGUGCGUAGGCGGUUCGUUAAGUUUGUUGUGAAAGCCCCGGGCUCAACCUGGGAAUGGCAAUGGAUACUGGCGAGCUAGAGUGUGUCAGAGGAUGGUGGAAUUCCCGGUGUAGCGGUGAAAUGCGUAGAGAUCGGGAGGAACAUCAGUGGCGAAGGCGGCCAUCUGGGACAACACUGACGCUGAGGCACGAAAGCGUGGGGAGCAAACAGGAUUAGAUACCCCAGUAGUCCCUGUCUCUUAUAA
rnacentral:rRNA from 1 species